rnacentral:rRNA from 1 species
UACCAGCACCCCGAGUGGUCGGGACGUUUAUUGGGCCUAAAGCAUCCGUAGCCGGUUCUACAAGUCUUCCGUUAAAUCCACCUGCUCAACAGAUGGGCUGCGGAAGAUACUAUGGAGCUAGGAGGCGGGAGAGGCAAGCGGUACUCGAUGGGUAGGGGUAAAAUCCGUUGAUCCAUUGAAGACCACCAGUGGCGAAGGCGAGUCCCUGGACACUUCCUGACACUGAGGCACGAAAGCUAGGGGAGCAAACAGG